AACGAACGCUGGCGGCAGGCCUAACACAUGCAAGUCGAGCGAGGACUUCGGUCCUAGCGGCGGACGGGUGAGUAACGCGUGGGAACGUGCCCUUUGCUUCGGAAUAGCCCUGGGAAACUGGGAGUAAUACCGGAUGAGCCCUUUGGGGGAAAGAUUUAUCGGCGAAGGAUCGGCCCGCGUUGGAUUAGGUAGUUGGUGGGGUAAUGGCCUACCAAGCCGACGAUCCAUAGCUGGUUUCAGAGGAUGAUCAGCCACACUGGGACUGAGACACGGCCCAGACUCCUACGGGAGGCAGCAGUGGGGAAUCUUAGACAAUGGGGGAAACCCUGAUCUAGCCAUGCCGCGUGAGCGAUGAAGGCCUUAGGGUUGUAAAGCUCUUUCAGCUGGGAAGAUAAUGACGGUACCAGCAGAAGAAGCCCCGGCUAACUCCGUG
rnacentral:rRNA from 1 species